rnacentral:rRNA from 1 species
AACGAACGCCGGCGGCAGGCUUAACACAUGCAAGUCAAACGCCUAUAGCAAUAUAGGAGUGGCGGACGGGUGAGUAAUACUUGGGAACGUACCUUAGAGUCUGGGAUAACGUCGGGAAACUGACGCUAAUACCGGAUAUUCCCUCCGGGGGAAAGAUUUAUCGCUCUAAGAUCGGCCCAAGCCAGAUUAGCUAGUUGGUGGGGUAAUGGCCUACCAAGGCAACGAUCUGUAGCUGUUCUGAGAGGAAGACCAGCCACACUGGAACUGAGACACGGUCCAGACUCCUACGAGAGGCAGCAGUGGGGAAUAUUGGACAAUGGGGGAAACCCUGAUCCAGCCAUGCCGCGUGAGUGAUGAAGGCCUUAGGGUUGUAAAGCUCUUUUGCCAGGGAAGAUGAUGACGGUACCUGGAGAAUAAGCACCGGCUAACUUCGUGCCAGCCGCCGCGGUAA